GACAAGUUGAACUGCUCUGCUCGGAGAAAGGAUCGCUGGUGUAUACUUUCCCUCCGUUGUUUUCUCUUCCUUUGGGGUGAUUGAUGUACUCAAGCCAGUCAUUUCUACAGGGCGUGAAUGCCAGGGAACAUCAGACGUGGCAUGAAACCUCGAUAUUCCCGUCCUGAAAAUGAGAAAAGCCUCCCAAAAACUCCCGGAACUUGAGGUCGUGACAGUGUCGCUGACUCCUUGGGACAGCCCAGGGCUGUGUCUGUGAGCCCUGCGGGGCUCUGACGGCCGCGGGGGAGUGAGAGUGAGGAUUGGCAGGAGGUGGAGGAGGAGCAGCACAGAACACAGUCUGGGAAGAUGAUUUGACUGGCUCAGUUAUGACAUCUCUCUCCUUCUGAACUCCACUCUUGGAUCUGGGCAUUUGUGUUUUUGAGCAACGCUUCCAGGUGUUUGCAGCUCUGUGUUAAGGAAGAACUGGAAGUGCACUGUGCCAGCAGCAGCCCUGGGAAGCAGACUGUUACAUCCUGGUAUGGUUUUACUAGUGAUUGGAGAUGCAAAGAGCAGGGAGGUGCUUGGGAGGUGCAAGGACUGCUAUGACCUCAUGUGGUUUUUUUAACCUGUGUGAAAGUUUGUCUUAAUUUUUAAAAAAAUGAGAACAAGAAUUAUACUAAGUCUAGAAGGCUUAUUUGUG
rnacentral:lncRNA from 1 species